CCUACGGUGGGCUGCAGUGGGGAAUCUUGCACAAUGGGCGAAAGCCUGAUGCAGCAACGCCGCGUGAGCGAUGAAGGCCUUCGGGUCGUAAAGCUCUGUUCUCAAGGAAGAUAAUGACGGUACUUGAGGAGGAAGCCCCGGCAAACUACGUGCCCGCAGCCGCGGUAAUACGUAGGGGGCUAGCGUUAUCCGGAAUUACUGUGAGUAAAGGGUGCGUAGGUGGUUUCUAAAGUCACAGGUGAAAGGCUACGGCUAAACCGUAGUAAGCCUUUGAAACUGGGGAACUUGAGUGCAGUAGAGGAGAGUGGAAUUCCUAGUGUAGCGGUGAAAUGCGUAGAUAUUAGGAGGAACACCAGUUGCGAAGGCGGCUCUCUGGACUGUAACUGACACUGAGGCACGAAAGCGUGGGGAGCAAACAGGAUUAGAUACCCUUGUAGUC
rnacentral:rRNA from 1 species